rnacentral:rRNA from 1 species
UACGUAGGAUGCAAGCGUUGUCCGGAAUUAUUGGGCGUAAAGAGUUCGUAGGCGGUUGCCUAAGUCUGGUGUUAAAUACAGGAGCUCAACUCCUGCAUGGCACUGGAAACUGGGCAGCUAGAGUGUGGUAGAGGUCACGGGAAUUCCAGGUGUAGCGGUGAAAUGCGUAGAUAUCUGGAGGAACACCAGUGGCGAAAGCGCGUGACUGGGCCACAACUGACGCUGAGGAACGAAAGCCAGGGGAGCAAACGGG